AAUGAUAUGCCUGAGUAAAGGAUUAUUUUGAUAGAAUAAAUCACACAUUAAUUUUAAAAUGUUUUCAUUA
rnacentral:tRNA from 1 species